rnacentral:rRNA from 1 species
CAGCACCGAAUCCUUCACCAUUUCGGUGACAGGAAAUGUGGUGUUUAGGUUGUACCUUGUCCCGUUACGUCUCUCCUCAAGUCCACUUGAUUGUGGCCCCAGGCCCAGAGAGGGUGUAAGGCCCGUGGAGGCGAGAUGUUCGGUACCUGGUGCGUCCUUAGAGUCGGGUUGUUUGGGAAUGCAGCCCUAAGCGGGUGGUAAACUCCAUCCAAGGCUAAAUACUAGCACGAGUCCGAUAGCGAAGAAGUACCGCGAGGGAAGGUUGAAAAGAACUUUGAAGAGAGAGUUCAAGAGUACGUGAAACCGCUGAGAGGCAAACUGGUGGAACUGAAAUGGUCCCGAGGAAUUCAGCCGUUGGUGGGAGUGCAUGCGUCGGUCUCUGAUUUAACGACAGCGCCGGCGGAUGGAGCUCUUGGCAUCGGUGCACUUUCCUCGUUCGGGCCCGACCACGACCGGUGAGUUGAUCUGUCUGUCGUGCUUGGAAGAUAGCGUCAUCUUCGGAAGGCGUGUUAUAGACUUGCAUACGGAGCAGUCGACGCACUGGACGAUAAUGCCUGCCCAUGUGGCUCAUAUGGUGGCUGUUUUGUUGUCGAGUGCUGGUGUCACUACCUCGGUAGAGUCGUCGGCCUCUGUUGGCAUUAUGGUUGUCCUCUAUGAUUGGCAUUGAUAAGUCUGUGGUUGUGAAGUAGGUAGUCCACCUGACCCGUCUUGAAACACGGACCAAGGAGUCUAACAUGUGCGCGAGUCAUUGGGUUCACGAAACCUAAAGGCGCAGUGAAGGUAAAGAUCUGCUUUGGCAGAUUGAGGUGGGAUGCUGGGUUACGCGCCCAGCCGCACUACCGGCCCGUUCUAUAUGUAUCUCAUAGGAGCGGAGCAAGAGCGUACACGUUGGGACCCGAAAGAUGGUGAACUAUGCUUGCGCAGGUCGAAGCCAGAG